rnacentral:rRNA from 1 species
GAUGAACGCUGGCGGCGUGCCUACUACAUGCAAGUCGAGCGAAGCGGGGACGGGUGAGUAACACGUGGAUAACCUCCUAUAAGACUGGGAGAACUUCGGGAAACCGGAGCUAAACUGGAUACUUCAGGAUGGAUCCGCGCUGCAUUAGCUUGUUGGUAAGGUAACGGCUUACCAAGGCAACGAUGCAUAUCCGACCUGAGUGGGUGAUCGUCCACACUGGAACUGUGAAACGUUCCAGACUCCUACGGGAGGCAGCAGUAGGGAAUCUUCCGCAAGUGGCGAAAGCCUGACGGAGCAACGCCGCGUGAGUGAUGAAGGUCUUCGGAUCGUAAAACUCUGGUAUUAGGGAAGCGGUAUCUAAUCAGAAAGCCACGGCUAACUACGUGCCAGCAGCCGCGGUAAUUC